GCGAUCCAAAUUAGAAACGUAGAUCGACAUGCUCCACCUCCGCAACGCAAAAAAAAAAAAAAAAAAAAAAAGAAAGAAACGGCACACGCUACUCCUCCGCGACGCGAAAAAAAAAGAAACGGCGCCUCCUCUUCUCACUCGUCACCCGACACCGCAGACUUCUCCCUCUCCGCCGUCGUCGUAUCCCGCCUCCUUCACACCAUCGCCGCCCCUCAAUCCAUCCUCGCGCCUCCCUCGACCGCCGCCGCACCGAUCCGAUCUCUCUCGCGCUUCUCCCCCGCCGCCGCCGCUCCAGAUCCCCCCGCUUUUCCUCCUCCUUCCGCCCACCUGCCAUCGACGCCACUGCCCCUGCUGCUGACUCCACCUCCUCCCCGCCGCCGACGCCUAGCGCCGCUGCUGCCCACCCGCAACCGCCAUUGCCCAACCGCAACCGCCAUACCCCGCCUUUCCUCCUUCCGCCCACCUGCCACCGACGCCGCCGCCCCUGGCAGUGACUCCUCCCCGACGCCGACGCCACCGCCGCCGACGCCUACUGCAACCGACGCCGAAUCCCCCGCCGCCAACGCCACCGCCACCGCCGUCGACGCCUACUCCUUUGGCAGUGUGGAGGACUGCUGCUUCCCUAAGGUGGUGGAGUUGUCUCGGAGGCACUCCCUCAAGGCUGCUGAGGCCACCCCGUUCAAGAGACUGAAUGUGAAUAUACUCUUGAGAAAUUUGCAGUAA
rnacentral:lncRNA from 1 species